rnacentral:rRNA from 1 species
GUGUCAGCCGCCGCGGUAAUACGGAGGGUGCGAGCGUUAAUCGGAAUUACUGGGCGUAAAGGGCGCGUAGGCGGCCGAUCAAGUCAGAUGUGAAAGCCCACGGCUUAACCGUGUGAAGUGCAUCUGAAACUGGUCGGCUUGAGUAUCGGAGAGGAAAGUGGAAUUCCCGGUGUAGAGGUGAAAUUCGUAGAUAUCGGGAGGAAUACCGGUGGCGAAGGCGACUUUCUGGACGAAUACUGACGCUGAGGCGCGAAAGCGUGGGGAGCAAACAGGAUUAGAAACCCUUGUAGUCC